UACGUAGGGCGCAAGCGUUGUCCGGAAUUAUUGGGCGUAAAGAGCUCGUAGGCGGCUUGUCACGUCGGGUGUGAAAGCCCGGGGCUUAACCCCGGGUCUGCAUUCGAUACGGGCUAGCUAGAGUGUGGUAGGGGAGAUCGGAAUUCCUGGUGUAGCGGUGAAAUGCGUAGAUAUCGAGAGGAACACCUGCGGCGAAGGCGGGUUGCUGGGCUGAUACUGACGCUGAGGCGCGAAAGCGUGGGGAGCAAACAGG
rnacentral:rRNA from 1 species